rnacentral:rRNA from 13 species
CAUGGCGGAUGUCUUGGCGUCAAGAGGCGAUGAAGGACGUGGAAACCUGCGAAAAGUUCAGGGGAGCUGGUAAUCAAGCUGCGAUCCUGAAAUGUCCGAAUGGGGAAACCCGACCGCAAGGUCACUCUUAUCUGAAUGCAUAGGGUAAGAGAGCGAACCUGGGGAACUGAAACAUCUAAGUACCCAGAGGAAAGGAAAUCAACCGAGACUCCGUGAGUAGCGGCGAGCGAAAGCGGAUAGUGACUUAGUCCAGUGAACGCGUUGGAAAGCGCGGCCAAAGAAGGUGAUAGCCCUGUAGUUUGAUGAUGUCACACAGCCCUAGAGUAGCGUCGGUGUCGUGAAACCCGGCGUGAACAUGGGGGGUCCACCCUCCAAGGCUAAGUACUACUUGACGACCGAUAGUUAACCAGUAAGGCGACUGAAUGAUGAAAACUACCCCUGCUAGGGGUGUGAAAUAGUAGCUGAAACCAUGUGCUUACACAGCGGUCAGAGCCCUUCGGGGUGAUGGCGUGCCUUUUGCAUAAUGACCCGGCGAGUUACUCUCAUUGGCGAGGUUAAGGCCUAUCGGGCCGAAGCCGAAGCGAAAGCGAGUCUGAAAUAGGCGCUAAGUCGAUGGGAGUAGACGCGAAACCUUGUGAUCUACCCAUGGGCAGGCUG